UCAGAGAGAAGAGAAGGGAUGACAGGAGAGAGGCGGGCAGAACUCAGGUAAGUUCUCUGCUGGGACCUUGCCUCCUUCCCUUGACUCCAGGACCCUCCAGCCUACCCAGUCCCAGGCACCUGGAAGAAGCUCUCCACAUGCUCCCUUGGGGCCUCCUCUCGGAGCGCAGGAUACGUAUACUUGCCCAUCAUAUCAUAGAUGGAUUUCAUGAUAUCAAGCAUUUCCUGUUAGGCAAGAGAGAAAAGGAUCCCUCCUCAGAGCCUCCAGCCUCCAAACCAGGAAGACUAGAGCCUAGGGCAGACCUCACCCCUUGCUGGUGAUGCACGUGUGGGUCACAUUUUCCUCCUAAGGGCUCUUUGAACCUCCCCUCACACAUAGAAGCUCUCCAACUCUUCAGUCUCCCCACACCUCCUUGGUGAUGCAGCCAUCCUUGUUGAGGUCAUACAGAUUGAAGGCCCAGUUUAGCCUGUCAUCUAUGGUUCCCCGAAGAAUCACCGACAAACCAGCCACGAAGUCCUGGGAAGGAGAGAGGAGGGAACUGGUUCUUCAGAUACCCUUAACCCAAUCCCCUUUCUGGGUUUGGCCUGUGGAUCUUGGCCCUGAUGCUCCAGGAAACAGGCCUCCCUGACCCACCUCCUCCAGCUCACCUCGAAACUGACAGAGCCAUCAUGGUUGGUGUCAAAGGCAUUGAAGAGGAAAGUGGCAUAUGUGCUGGAGUCUGUAGGGUAAGCGUGGAUAAGUUUGGCUUUCAGACAGGAGAGGACUUCCUACCCCACACCCCUCUUUAUCAUUUGGCAUUCCCAGCCCCUCCAGAACCCUCUCCCCAACUCAGCCUAGAGAUGGACAGCUGCUUCCUCUCAGGCCUUGUCCCCUCACCUCCUUGAGGAAAGAACUGAGAGUAAAUCUGCUUGAAGUUCUCCUCGUUGACAAUUCCGCUGGGACAUUCCUGGGGGGCGGAAGGGGGGUUAGAAACCAGACUGAGAGCAGAAACAAAACCCCCUUCCACUCACCACCACCUACUCUAUGCCAGAGACUCC
rnacentral:lncRNA from 1 species